GGAAAUAGAAACAGAAUGGAACGAAACAGAGAGCAGGGGAGAAAAAGAAAGAAAGAAGGGGAGAAAAGGGAAAAUUCAAGGUUUGAAGCUUUAAGCUUUAAUAGUCAAUGUGGUACCGGAAAUCUCGGCUAAGAAAGGACAAGACAAAGUCAACGGGAGUUAGCUCGAAAAUUACGUGUUAAGAGCUCGGAGGUUGGAUUUGGUGGAGACACAUCACACUGUCAACCUCAGGAUUUCGGUAUAUAAAGAAACUUUAUUUUGGAAAUCAAUGGCAUGUAUAAGCUAACAAAGUAAAUGUUAACGUGAAAUGAAUGUAAAGUUAGCCAUUAGUAUGGUUAACAAACCUGGUUAUAGAUAUGUGAUGACGUUAUUUUAUAUAAAUGCAUGAAUCUAUCAUGAAAA